rnacentral:rRNA from 1 species
CGUGGGUAACCUGCCCAAGAGAUCGGGAUAACACCUGGAAACAGAUGCUAAUACCGGAUAACAACAGAUGAUGCCUAUCAACUGUUUAAAAGAUGGUUCUGCUAUCACUCUUGGAUGGACCUGCGGUGCAUUAGCUAGUUGGUAGGGUAACGGCCCACCAAGGCGAUGAUGCAUAACCGAGUUGAGAGACUGAUCGGCCACAUUGGGACUGAGACACGGCCCAAACUCCUACGGGAGGCAGCAGUA